AGCGAACGCUGGCGGCAGGCUUAACACAUGCAAGUCGAGCGGGCAUCCUUGUGGUGUCAGCGGCAGACGGGUGAGUAACGCGUGGGAACGUGCCCUUCGGUUCGGAAUAACUCAGGGAAACUUGAGCUAAUACCGGAUACGCCCUUUUGGUGAAAGGUUUACUGCCGAAGGAUCGGCCCGCGUCUGAUUAGCUAGUUGGUGAGGUUAUGGCUCACCAAGGCGACGAUCAGUAGCUGGUCUGAGAGGAUGAUCAGCCACACUGGGACUGAGACACGGCCCAGACUCCUACGGGAGGCAGCAGUGGGGAAUAUUGGACAAUGGGGGCAACCCUGAUCCAGCCAUGCCGCGUGAGUGAUGACGGCCUUAGGGUUGUAAAGCUCUUUUCUCCGGGACGAUAAUGACGGUACCGGAGGAAUAAGCCCCGGCUAACUUCGUG
rnacentral:rRNA from 1 species